GACAGAGGGUGCAACCGUUGUUCGGAAUUACUGGGCGUAAAGCGCGUGUAGGCUGCUUCGCAAGUCGGAUGUGAAAGCCCUGGGCUCAACCUAGGAAGUGCAUUCGAAACUUCGAAGCUUGAGUUCUGGAGAGGAAGGCGGAAUUCUCGGUGUAGAGGUGAAAUUCGUAGAUAUCGAGAGGAACACCGGUGGCGAAGGCGGCCUUCUGGACAGUGACUGACGCUGAGACGCGAAAGCGUGGGUAGCGAACAGG
rnacentral:rRNA from 1 species